UACAGAGGGUGCGAGCGUUGUCCGGAAUCACUGGGCGUAAAGGGCGCGUAGGUGGCGACCCAAGUCGAUGGUGAAAGCUCGCCGCUCAACGGCGAGUCGGCCACCGAUACUGGGUUGCUGGAGCACUGUAGAGGCUCAUGGAAUUCCGGGUGUAGCGGUGGAAUGCGUAGAGAUCCGGAAGAACACCGGUGGCGAAGGCGGUGAGCUGGGCAGUUGCUGACACUGAGGCGCGACAGCGUGGGGAGCAAUCCGG
rnacentral:rRNA from 1 species